UCUCGGCUUAUCACCGGCAGUCCCCCUAGAGUGCCCAACUGAAUGAUGGCAACUAAGGGCGAGGGUUGCGCUCGUUGCGGGACUUAACCCAACAUCUCACGACACGAGCUGACGACAGCCAUGCAGCACCUGUGUUCCAGUUCCCUUUCGGGCACACCUGAAUCUCUUCAGGCUUCCGGACAUGUCAAGGGUAGGUAAGGUUGUUCGCGUUGCAUCGAAUUAAUCCACAUCAUCCACCGCUUGUGCGGGUCCCCGUCAAUUCCUUUGAGUUUUAACCUUGCGGCCGUACUCCCCAGGCGGUCAACUUCACGCGUUAGCUACGGUACUCAGAAAUCGCUUCCCGAACACCCAGUUGACAUCGUUUAGGGCGUGGACUAC
rnacentral:misc_RNA from 1 species